AGUUGAGACUUCUCCAAGGGCCGUGGGGUUGACAUCUGUGGUCUCAGAGUCCUCGUAAGAACUUCCAUUUUAUGUUCUUAUCUUCUCAUCAGUUUGAGUUAUGUCUUUAACAUUGGAGAGAAAAACAACUUGCAAGAUUUUCUUUCAGUAUGAACCAUUCUGAGGUCCUUCAAUUCUUUAGCUGAUUACCAACUCCUACCACUGUUAACCCUCAUCCAGGAACAAGCUUAUGUCUUUAACAUUCUGAGUGGGCUUCAGCAUCCUUGCAUAUGUUCAAUUCUUAAAAACCUGUUGAAAUAAAAGAUCAGGAGACAUAGGAGGGAUGCCAGAAGACAGCGUGGCCUCACGUGUACCAGCUCUCUGCUCUCCUUUGCCUUGGGACGUUCCAUCCCUGGAAGUUUCCCUGCCCACAUCUUUGUAGAGAGUCCAUUCUCCAAGCUUCAGUGUGUCAUCUGUUAGGACUAUGACCCACCUGGUACAUUACCUCAGGGCAUUCAUUUCAGGCUCCUUCUAAGUGGUCAAGGCACCCUUGGAAAUGCAAUGCUAUAUCUCAAUGGGAUUUUCCAGUACAGAGAUUCUUUUCAAUAACAUAAUUGUGGAUACACACCACUCCUGUAGUGGUAAACCUCAGGUUCUCCUCCUGCCUUUUGCUAAGUAUAUGUCUUGAUGACAAGCCUUCUGCUAAUGAGCUGUGUUUCUGGACCGAUCAUGGUAGAAGUCAAUUGAAGUGUCCCUCACUUGGGGUUUCUUAAGGCUGCACUGAUGAGGAAACUGAAACAGAAAAUCCAGAGUAAAUUCCACCAGGCCACACAGCAAGGUCUGAUAGAGCCAGGAGAGACUUUAUGAAAUCCAGACUCUCACACUAAUGCUCUAUCAGCUAGACCUCCAUGUGAGUCUCCCCAAUGUAGGUAGGAAGCACUUUCCC
rnacentral:lncRNA from 1 species